rnacentral:rRNA from 1 species
UACAGAGGGUGCAAACGUUGCUCGGAAUUACUGGGCGUAAAGCGCGUGUAGGCGGUUUCGUAAGUCCGACGUGAAAGCCCGGGGCUCAACCCCGGAAGUGCGUUGGAUACUGUGAAGCUGGAGUCCUGAAGAGGAGAGCGGAAUUCCCGGUGUAGAGGUGAAAUUCGUAGAUAUCGGGAGGAACACCUGUGGCGAAGGCGGCUCUCUGGGCAGGUACUGACGCUGAGACGCGAAAGCGUGGGGAGCAAACAGG